GGGGCAGUGGCGGAAUGGCAAACGCAGCGGACUUAAAAUCCGCCGGGCUUCGGCCCUUGUGGGUUCGACUCCCACCUGCCCUA
rnacentral:tRNA from 3 species